CUACGGGCGGCUGCAGGUAGGAAUCUUUUGCAAUGCGCGCAAGCGUGACAAAGCGAGCCAGAGUGCUUUUCAAAUUGAAAAGCUUUUGCCAAAUGUAAAAAGUUUGGCGAAUAAGGACUGGGUAAGACGAGUGCCAGCCGCCGCGGUAAUACUCGCGGUCCAAGUCGCAGCCAUAUUUAUUGGGUCUAAAACAUCCGUAGCUUGCUGAAUAAGUUCCUUGUGAAAUCUUGUAUCUCAAGUACAAGGCGUGCGGGGAAUACUGUUUAGCUAGAGACUGGAAGACGUAAGAAGUACGUUCAAAGUAUCGGUAAAAUGAGUUAAUCUUGGACGGACUCACAACAGCGAAGGCAUCUUACGAGGACAGUUCUGACAGUAAAGGAUGAAGGCUAGGGGCGCAAAACGGAUUAGAUACCCGUGUAGUC
rnacentral:rRNA from 1 species